UUAAGCGACUAAGCGUACACGGUGGAUGCCCUGGCAGUCAGAGGCGAUGAAGGACGUGCUAAUCUGCGAAAAGCGUCGGUAAGGUGAUAUGAACCGUUACAGCCGGCGAUGUCCGAAUGGGGAAACCCAGUGCAAUUCGUUGCACUAUCGUUAACUGAAUACAUAGGUUAACGAGGCGAACCGGGGGAACUGAAACAUCUAAGUACCCCGAGGAAAAGAAAUCAACCGAGAUUCCCCCAGUAGCGGCGAGCGAACGGGGAGCAGCCCAGAGUCUGAAUCAGCUUGUGUGUUAGUGGAACGGUCUGGAAAGUCCGACGGUACAGGGUGAUAGUCCCGUACACCAAAAUGCACAGGUUGUGAACUCGAAGAGUAGGGCGGGACACGUGGUAUCCUGUCUGAAUAUGGGGGGACCAUCCUCCAAGGCUAAAUACUCCUGACUGACCGAUAGUGAACCAGUACCGUGAGGGAAAGGCGAAAAGAACCCCGGCGAGGGGAGUGAAAAAGAACCUGAAACCGUGUACGUACAAGCAGUGGGAGCACCUUCGGGUGUGACUGCGUACCUUUUGUAUAAUGGGUCAGCGACUUAUAUUCUGUAGCAAGGUUAACCGUAUAGGGGAGCCGCAGGGAAACCGAGUCUUAACUGGGCGUUAAGUUGCAGGGUAUAGACCCGAAACCCGGUGAUCUAGCCAUGGGCAGGUUGAAGGUUGGGUAACACUAACUGGAGGACCGAACCGACUAAUGUUGAAAAAUUAGCGGAUGACUUGUGGCUGGGGGUGAAAGGCCAAUCAAACCGGGAGAUAGCUGGUUCUCCCCGAAAGCUAUUUAGGUAGCGCCUCGUGAACUCAUCUUCGGGGGUAGAGCACUGUUUCGGCUAGGGGGUCAUCCCGACUUACCAACCCGAUGCAAACUACGAAUACCGAAGAAUGUUAUCACGGGAGACACACGGCGGGUGCUAACGUCCGUCGUGAAGAGGGAAACAACCCAGACCGCCAGCUAAGGUCCCAAAGUCAUGGUUAAGUGGGAAACGAUGUGGGAAGGCACAGACAGCCAGGAUGUUGGCUUAGAAGCAGCCAUCAUUUAAAGAAAGCGUAAUAGCUCACUGGUCGAGUCGGCCUGCGCGGAAGAUGUAACGGGGCUAAACCAUGCACCGAAGCUGCGGCAGCGACACUAUGUGUUGUUGGGUAGGGGAGCGUUCUGUAAGCCUGCGAAGGUGUGCUGUGAGGCAUGCUGGAGGUAUCAGAAGUGCGAAUGCUGACAUAAGUAACGAUAAAGCGGGUGAAAAGCCCGCUCGCCGGAAGACCAAGGGUUCCUGUCCAACGUUAAUCGGGGCAGGGUGAGUCGACCCCUAAGGCGAGGCCGAAAGGCGUAGUCGAUGGGAAACAGGUUAAUAUUCCUGUACUUGGUGUUACUGCGAAGGGGGGACGGAGAAGGCUAUGUUAGCCGGGCGACGGUUGUCCCGGUUUAAGCAUGUAGGCUGAUUGUCCAGGCAAAUCCGGAUAAUCAAGGCUGAGGUGUGAUGACGAGGCACUACGGUGCUGAAGUAACAAAUGCCCUGCUUCCAGGAAAAGCCUCUAAGCAUCAGGUAACAUCAAAUCGUACCCCAAACCGACACAGGUGGUCAGGUAGAGAAUACCAAGGCGCUUGAGAGAACUCGGGUGAAGGAACUAGGCAAAAUGGUGCCGUAACUUCGGGAGAAGGCACGCUGGUGUGUAGGUGAAGUCCCUGCGGAUGGAGCUGAGACCAGUCGAAGAUACCAGCUGGCUGCAACUGUUUAUUAAAAACACAGCACUGUGCAAACACGAAAGUGGACGUAUACGGUGUGACGCCUGCCCGGUGCCGGAAGGUUAAUUGAUGGGGUUAUCCGUAAGGAGAAGCUCUUGAUCGAAGCCCCGGUAAACGGCGGCCGUAACUAUAACGGUCCUAAGGUAGCGAAAUUCCUUGUCGGGUAAGUUCCGACCUGCACGAAUGGCGUAAUGAUGGCCAGGCUGUCUCCACCCGAGACUCAGUGAAAUUGAACUCGCUGUGAAGAUGCAGUGUACCCGCGGCAAGACGGAAAGACCCCGUGAACCUUUACUAUAGCUUGACACUGAACAUUGAGCCUUGAUGUGUAGGAUAGGUGGGAGGCUUUGAAGCGUGGACGCCAGUCUGCGUGGAGCCAACCUUGAAAUACCACCCUUUAAUGUUUGAUGUUCUAACGUUGGCCCCUGACCGGGGUUGCGGACAGUGUCUGGUGGGUAGUUUGACUGGGGCGGUCUCCUCCCAAAGCGUAACGGAGGAGCACGAAGGUUAGCUAAUCCUGGUCGGACAUCAGGAGGUUAGUGCAAUGGCAUAAGCUAGCUUGACUGCGAGCGUGACGGCGCGAGCAGGUGCGAAAGCAGGUCAUAGUGAUCCGGUGGUUCUGAAUGGAAGGGCCAUCGCUCAACGGAUAAAAGGUACUCCGGGGAUAACAGGCUGAUACCGCCCAAGAGUUCAUAUCGACGGCGGUGUUUGGCACCUCGAUGUCGGCUCAUCACAUCCUGGGGCUGAAGUAGGUCCCAAGGGUAUGGCUGUUCGCCAUUUAAAGUGGUACGCGAGCUGGGUUUAGAACGUCGUGAGACAGUUCGGUCCCUAUCUGCCGUGGGCGCUGGAGAAUUGAGGGGGGCUGCUCCUAGUACGAGAGGACCGGAGUGGACGCAUCACUGGUGUUCGGGUUGUCAUGCCAAUGGCACUGCCCGGUAGCUAAAUGCGGAAGAGAUAAGUGCUGAAAGCAUCUAAGCACGAAACUUGCCCCGAGAUGAGUUCUCCCUGAGACU
rnacentral:rRNA from 1 species